UUCAGUCCCUGGCCCUUGAACUUCUGUAUGCUGUGCAUGUGAAACAAGUGAAAUUAAUUGAAAUAACUUAACCCACUCUAUAAAAAAUUUAAUAACUUUAAUACAUAUGCAUUUAUGCAUAUAUUGAUAUAUUCCCAUGUAUUGGUAUAGAAACAUUGAGAUAAUUACUUAAUUUUUUCCCAGUGUAGUUGCUGUAUUGGACAGUGUGGGUCUAAAAUAUAUUAGCUUAUACAUUUAAUUUUAAUUUUCUCUUCUUUUUUAGGCUGCUUCUUAACCUGUACUAGUUAGCAUGUGAGCUUGUUACUGGCUCACAUGCUAACUGAUGAUACAGCUCAGAAGACAAGGAUUCGGGAUGUAACCUGACUUAAUUUUAGAGUGCCAGUUGGAGAGCUCAGGUGAACUCAGAAUGCUCCAACGUGGAUUCGGUGUAGAUCUCUGACUUUGUGCUGGGCAUCUGGAGGGUGCCCUCGCUCUCAGCCUCCUAGGGGGCAGAAACUACCUUGUAUGAAAACGUGCUGCUGUGUAAAUUUAAGCUGUACAGCAUAGUGAUAUGACUUAUAUACAUCAUGAAAUGAUUAACCAUGCUGAGUUUAGUGAGCAUCCAUCAUCUCACACAGAUACAAAAUUAAAGAAAUAGAAAAGAAAAAAAAAAAAAAAAAAAAAAAAAAAAAAAGAAGAAGUGCUGGAAGUGUCAGGGAGACUCUCUUUGCUGUUGAGUCAGCCUUGGCUUUGGCCUCCUGUCAGUACAGAGAGCUUGCAGCUGAAUUAGGUCCUUGCUUCUCUUGGAAUUGAGAAGGAAGGUGUGGGUUUUUUGAGUAAGAUUACUGAUUAAGGUGUGAAAUCUUCCUCAGUCCAUUUACUUAAAAUCUGAACAUCAAGUAGAUCAUAUAAUCAUUUCUUAGCUUAGAUAGAUCAUAGAAACUAGCAAAUUAAGGUGGUGAAAGACCCACACGUGAAUUUAUCAUCAGGUCUGCCCUGAUUUCUAGGUAAAGGCUAGUGUACAUAUAAGGUCUACAGGGUGUGUGAUUUGAAUGGAACUUUUUCCUUCAUUUUUUAGAUCACUACUCAAAGUCCACUGACAGAAUACAGGGAGACAGACUUGAUUAGAUUAGACCAGAUUGGAUUAAAUCGAAUGGUUAAAGCCUUUGGAGCCUCUAGCUUGUAGGAGACGCCAUAAUGGGCUUCAUAGUCCCUAAAUCCUAUUAGGUAGGUUAAUCUUAUUGAAGAAUUUAGGUCUGCAUAAAGCAGCAUUGCCCUUAUACUCUCUCUGGUGGUCUCUGGCCCUUAAGGUGAGCUGACAGUAACUUUCUUGGAAUAGACUGAUAAUGUUGGUUUGGGGCAAGUUUCUAAACAACUUCAAAGUGGCUACCUGCAGUUGGUCCAGGGAACAUUCCUCGCAGAAAAAUAGUCUGUCUCCUGGCUGGUCUUUGGUGUGGUGGCUGUUAGUGUCUGUGCCAGGGAUGAUUUUAGCCCUGGUUUUGGGGAAAGAGUCAGGAGAGAUGUGUGUAAAUAGCAAAAAUCGGCUGCUGUCUCGUUGUAGCAGGUGUGGGGGUGGAUUGAGGGGAGGGAGCUUUAUUUUUAAGCUUUGUGACAUCAUCCCUUAUAGCCUGCAUCCAUUUUAGAGGUUGUCAUUAAGAAUCACGUGCUGAGUCUGUAGCAUGGUUGACACACUGUACUAAAUGUUGUGAAGAAAAUAAAGAAUCUUGGAACUUGGGAGCUGGAAGCAUCUUUGUGAUUUUUCUGGGUAUGCUUGUAGGUUUAUUCUAAGUUUGAGUUGGCUCUUGCCUGUUUCUACAGAUGCAGUGACCAUGUUUUUCUGAAGCCAAACAUCCUUUUUGUCACAGAAUUUUUUCCCCAGUUUGUGAAUAUAAGGACAGGCAAAGUUUUACAAAGGCCUAUACAUUGCGUCAAAUUUUAUUAUAGAUUUACUCUCUUUUGAAAGAAGAAAAAAGUGCAAGAAAUUGGGACUGUCUACCUCUGGAUGUAUGCUUACUGCAUUCACCGUGAGGACUGGUAGAAAGAACUGUGAAAAAAAAAAAAUAAUUAGACUUUCAUCUUUGUUAAAGAUAGUUUGGUUAGACGUGAAAAACCUUGACUCACAAGUGAUUAUUACCUACAGAUUGGUCUCCAGAGAUGCAGGAACAUUUUUUUCCAGGCGCCUUUAAAAAUAAGUUGCAGAGUGCCUCAGCUAGGAACUGAGAGUCCAUCAUUGAGAUCCUCUGAGUUAAUUGGUUCACAAGCAGAAAGUGAGGCAUCAUCCAGUUGAGACAUUCCUAUAUCCAAGGGGCUGAGCCAUUCUGACCUGGGAACUUCCUUCUUGAUAGAGCUUAGGGGGCUUGUUAGCUUUUCAUUUAUUCCCCUAUCUGGGCUAUGCCUGCUGUUAGCUAAGGAGUGAGCUAAGCUUAGUUUUUUAUUUAACUUUUCUGGUGGGGCAGCCCUGUGCAUCUGUGUCUUCUCCUCAAAGAAUAAAGAAAAUUUCAGGUGUGGGCCAGACAUGCAGUCUGAAGAACAGUUAUGAUAGAUGAAUGGUUUUGAUUUGCUUUUAGGAAGGAAAGUGCAGCUAGCCCUUUGGAUGAAGAUAAUAUCUCUCUCCAGCCCUCCUCUUUAUCGAGUGUACGGUGUUCUCUUUCUGUAUGGCACUUGUAUUUUCAAGAGCUGGGGUCAUUGACAGAAUACUUCUCACUCUUGAGUUUCCGAGCACAGCAGAGUAUACAUGUCUGAAGCCAGGAAUGUAAUUUUCUCUAAGUGUACCAAGCAUGGCUUUAAUUCUUCUUAUGUGCAUGCACAUAUUCUAUUCACAUUUGUGGUUUUUUUUUUUUUUUUUUUUUUUUUUGCUUCUUGAGGAAUAACUAACUACCCACCACCACCUUAUCCUUUUAUUGAUUCUUGAUUACACACAUCUCAGGAUAACCUUUGUUAGGAAGCAGCUGCUGGAAGAAUGUGUGCUCAGUUGGUCUCUGUGAUCUUUACUACUGUGCUCCUGUGACCCUAGGGUCACCCUGCCUACCCUCUCCUGUGCAUCAGCCCAGCCUUGUUCUUCAGGGCGUCUUCUUACUCUAUGAAGGAGACAUCCUUGACUCUCUCUGUCUCAACCUGGUAUCCAUGUCUGUUGAGGAAGUUCCAGAGGGGAAGAGGUCACGGAGGGAAUUUGAACAAGGAGAAACAGUGGAUCUGGUUAGGAGAAAUAUAUAAAACCUCAGUAUUCUUUGCUAAGUGUUCUUGGAAUCACAGUGUUCUUUGGAAUCACAAUAUGCUUUGGUCUGGGGACCUUUGAGAGUGCUCUUACCAGCCAUCAGACAGCCCUGUGUAAUUUUUCUGCAUAAGCUCACUCACUCUCCUCUUUUAAAGAUUUCUUGAUUUGCAUCCCACAGCAGUUGCUCCCAAUCUUGCUGGGGCGAGCUCCCAAUUUUGCUGAGUCCCUUUGGGAAGGAGGAGAAGUUGUCCUCUCUCGUAGUUUACAGACCCUUGCAUGUCCUGCUCCAGAGCGUCACAGAAAACAGUAAUAAUGCCUAAAGCUUAUUUAUGCACUCAAAGCAUGCCUUGCACUGUGACAGGUGCAUCACAUGGAUUAUUGCUUAUAAUAUUCAAGCCAGCCUGGUAAAGUAUGUGUGUUGUCACUGUCUUCAGUUUAUAUAUGGGAAAUUGAGGAGUUCCCGUGGUGGCUCAUUGGUAACGAAAGUAUCCAUGAGGAUGAGGGUUCAGUCCCUGGCCUCGCUCAGUGGGUUAAGGAUCUGGGGUUGCCGUGAGUUAUGGUGUAAAUUGCAGAUGAGGCUCUGAUCUGGCAUUGCUGUGAUCAAUGCUUAGGCCGGUGACUACAGCUCCCAUUUGACCCCUAGCCUGGGAACCUCCAUAUACCGUGGGUGUGGC
rnacentral:lncRNA from 1 species